rnacentral:tRNA from 1 species
GGUCCUGUAGUUCAAUGGAUAGAACGAAAGUUUCCUAAACUUUAGAUUCGAGUUCGAUUCUCGGCGGGACUA